GUCAAUGAAAAAAGUAUGUUAGUGAUGAAAUCGUGUAUAGAAAAUGGACAAGGUAUGUUAGUGAUAAAAUCAUGGGCAGUCAAUGAAAAAAGUAUGUUAGUGAUAAAAUCAUGGGCAGUCAAUGAAAAAAGUAUGUUAGUGAUAAAAUCAUGGGCAGUCAAUGAAAAAAGUAUGUAAGUGAUGAAAUCGUGUAUAGAAAAUGGACAAGGUAUGUUAGUGAUAAAAUCAUGGGCAGUCAAUGAAAAAAGUAUGUUAGUGAUAAAAUCAUGGGCAGUCAAUGAAAAAAGUAUGUUAGUGAUAAAAUCAUGGGCAAUCAA
rnacentral:sRNA from 1 species